GCCUAGGUGGCGGAAUUGGUAGACGCGUACGCUUGAGGGGCGUAUGACCUCUGGUCGUGCAGGUUCGAUUCCUGUUCUAGGCA
rnacentral:tRNA from 1 species